AUGAACGCUGGCGGCGUGCCUAAUACAUGCAAGUCGAGCGAACGGACGAGAAGCUUGCUUCUCUGAUGUUAGCGGCGGACGGGUGAGUAACACGUGGAUAACCUACCUAUAAGACUGGGAUAACUUCGGGAAACCGGAGCUAAUACCGGAUAAUAUUUUGAACCGCAUGGUUCAAAAGUGAAAGACGGUCUUGCUGUCACUUAUAGAUGGAUUCGCGCUGCAUUAGCUAGUUGGUAAGGUAACGGCUUACCAAGGCAACGAUGCAUAGCCGACCUGAGAGGGUGGUCGGCCACACUGGAACUGAGACACGGUCCAGACUCCUACGGGAGGCAGCAGUAGCGAAUCGUCCGCAAUGGGCGAAAGCCUGACGGAGCAACGCCGCGUGAGUGAUGAAGGUCUUCGGAUCGUAAAACUCUGUUAUUAGGGAAGAACAUAUGUGUAAGUAACUGUGCACAUCUUGACGGUACCUAAUCAGAAAGCCACGGCUAACUACGUG
rnacentral:rRNA from 1 species